rnacentral:RNase_P_RNA from 1 species
CCAGUCGGCCGGACGGCCGCUGCGGCGAGUGAUCGCCGGAGAGGAAAGUCCGGGCUCCAUGGAGAUACGGCGCCGGAUAACGUCCGGCGGGGGCGACCCCAGGGAAAGUGCCACAGAGAGCAGACCGCCCGCGGCUCGUCCGCGGGUAAGGGUGAAAGGGUGCGGUAAGAGCGCACCGCGCGACCGGUAACGGAAGCGGCAUGGCAAACCCCGCCAGGAGCAAAACCGAAUAGGGGCGACGGGCGUCUCCGCUCCGCGGGGGCGCGGGCCUGUCUCCAGGUCGUCGCCCGGGUUGGUUGCUUGAGGCGUCCAGCAAUGGCCGCCCUAGAGGAAUGGCCGUCACGCGCGGAGAAGGGGCGACCCGGCUCCGCGCCAUACAGAACCCGGCUUACAGGCCGGCUGGCGCA